ensembl:lncRNA
AUGAGCGAGGCUGAUGAAGCACCGUGUGUGGCUGAGGCCGAGGCAGAAAAGAAGGAGCAGGAGGAUGAAGAAGAUGCCAAGGAACAGACAGAGAAGGCCUGCACUGUUGCCAAUGAAACUGAAAGCGCUGGCUUGAAGAACAGAGAGGAAAUCGCAGAGGAGGUAAAAGAUACCAAGGACUCUGAAGCAUCACCAGAAGAGCAAGAGAAAGAUGAAGAAAAGGACUCAAGUGAGAACACAGCUGAAACAGUUGAGGGAGAGCCUGCAGUCAAAGAGACAGUCACUGAGGUACAGGAUAGGACAAGUGUGACAGCAACAUCAGAGAUAGGCCAGUUUGAGGAGCCAUCGGCUGAUGACACGAAGAGGCAGGGGACCCCAGAUGACCAGGAUAGGGUAGCAGAGGGUGACACAGAAAAUGCAGAUGAUACAAUAGCACAUGCUGACAGCACUGAAGAUGAUGCAAUAGCUCACGGUGACAGCACUGAAGAUGAUGCUGACAAAAGUAAGAAACAGGAACCAGACAGCAGCAUCGUUGAAACAUCAGAGAAACCUUCAGAAACAACCAACGUUACAAAAAGCGGAGAAAACGGUGGCGAGAAGUUGGCAGACUCAGAGAAAGUUGACAGUGAUGAGAAUGCUGUUAACGAUGGGAAUGAUCCCCAGAAUACCGAAGAGAAAGACGAUGCCAAAGAGGACAAUACAGAUGAAGGACAUAAGGAGGUUGAGCAAGAGACUGCAGAAAAUGAAAGCGUGAGGAGGAAAGAGGAGGAGGAGAAAGGUGUCGAUGAACUGAGACAAGACCAGGACAAAACUACAGAAAAGGAGAGUGUAGAGGCUGCCGAAGAGCAAGCUAAGGUAGAGGAUGGUGAACAGCCUGAGGGGGAUAAAGUGGAAGAGGAAGCAAAAGAGGACGAUUUAGCAAAUACAGGAGAUAAAAAUGCUGAAAAUGAAAUAAAAGCUGUAGAUGGAGAUGCCAAGAGCUGCAUGUCAGAUGAUGAAAAAGAGAGUAGUGUAGAGGAUAAAAACAAAACCGAAGACAAGGUUGUUGAUGGAGAUGAGAGGAAUAGUAUGUCAGAGGGUGAAAAAAAGAAAUCGGUAGAGGGCGAAGGAAAAGAAAAGCUGGAUGGUGCGGAAGAUGAAGGCAAACAGGCCAAGGCUGAGACUGCUGAGACUGCAGAGCCCGCUGAUGAAACAAUAACUGAGAAAGAAACUACAAUGGAUGAUUGUGGGCAGGGUGGUGGUGAUGAGGUUAAAGAGGAGGAAGAUGACGAGUCGGCGAAUGGACAAGUGGAUGAGAGAAAGGUAGAGGUUGGACAAGCUGGAAACAACGAGGAAGCGACGCGAAACGAAGAACAGGGAAAGGGACCGAAGGAAGAAAGAAAAGAUGGAGAGGGAGAGAGAGUAAACGGCACAGAAAAUGAACAUCCUGAAAUCAAGGUUGAGAAACAAGAUGAAGAAAGGGAAAGCAUUGUAGAAGGGGGAGGCACUAAAAAUGUAGACGGUGUAGAAGAAGACAAGGCAGCCGGAGAAGCAGGAAAGGUGAAUGAAGACAGUCAGGCUGGGGAUACGUUGAAAGAUGACGGAACAGACACCAAGGUAGAGGAAGCAGAGAAAUCAGAGGAAUGUACAGCAGAGGAUGUUGGGAAGAGUGAAAAUGAAACGUGUGACGGAGAAAGACAGUGGAGCAGUGGAGUUCGAGAGGCAGACGACAGUAAGGAGAAAGCAGAUGAAUGUGGUGGUGAUGAUACAAGUUCAGAGAAGAGAGAGCAGAGAAAGGAAGAUGAAUCUGGUGGUGAUGGUACAAGGUCAGAGGAGAGAGACCAGAGAAUGGAAGAUGGAGCAGAGGCAGGCAAGGAUGUGAAUGGAGAGGAAAAGGAUGAUGUCAUGGAGGUUAAUGUGGAGGAGACCAUAGUCCAUGACAUAGCAAUUAGUGGAGAUGGAGCUGAGUCAGAGCACGGUGAGAAGAGUGCAGAGGUCAUGGAGAGGUCAAUGGAUGAGGUCAUGGAGAUCAAGGCAGAACAGACUGAAGUUCAUGAGCUUGCAGUCAGUGGGGUUGAAACUGAGCCAGAAUGUGUUGUAAUCAAUGGUGAAAAUGGAGAGGAAAUUACAUCUAGUGAAACCAACGGGGACAUAGUGAAGGAAAAGUCUGAACUUGAAGGCCAAGGACCUCAGCAGAUUAUUGAUGAAGAGCAGAGAGACAGUGCUGACAGAGAACAAGAGAUCGAAGAGACAAAGAUCGAGGAGAUUGUCGGCAUCACAAGAAACAGUGUGGUGGACUUGACGGAUGGAGAUGACACGGAGAGACAGAGAAAGCCGAGUUCAGAUGGGUCUGUUGAGAUGCAGGUGAAGAUGGAGGAUGAAAAAGUCAAAGAAAAAAGUGAGCUAUCUGUUGCUGAUGGCGAUGAGCAUGCAAGUGUUCUAUCAAAAGAUGACCCGAACCGACACAAUGCAGCAAAUCAAGCGACAGACGCAGGAAAAGUAUACAGGCAAGUUGAAGAGACAAGCACAGACAUUGAGCCUUUUAAUGCUGUCCAAGAGUCAGAAAGCCUAAACACCAUGCACACAAGCGGUGCUGUGACUGACGCGCCGUGUGAUUCUGGAGGCCAUGCGGAGACCAAAGGGCACAAAUACGAAUCACAAAUAUCAGUAGAUAAGGAAGAUACAAGCACAAAGGAAGGUCAGGCAAACACACAAGAGCAGGAUGGGACUGAGAAAGAGCACAAAGACCCUGUGGUCAAUGGAGAACAGUCUGGAGCUGAAAAUGUAACAUCUCCCGUGCACCUAGCGCAAGAGGAAGUCGGAGAUCUCGUGUCCAAGUGGGUGAACCUACACCAAUCCUCAAGGUAUUUUCAAACGUUCAUUGAGCCCCUAGAUGACAUAAAGGAGACCUCCUCGAAGGGUGAGGUGGAGAUGAAUGGUCAUUCGGUGAAGGGGGAGGGAAGUCAGGUCACAAAUCUGCCAGAGUCUGACACUCAGAAUCAAAUAUCUGAGAGGAAAGAGGAUAACUGCUCACCGCCAAUGAGCGCACACACUGAAGACAAACAGGAAACUGCUGUCGAGGACUUUGUUAUGGAAACUCAAGAGGAAAAAACAGAAUCUGAUGUAAGAAGCAAACAUUCCAAUGAUGAGUCAGUUCUUGCAACCAAAGACAUGUUGGAAGAGAGGCAAGAUAAAGAGAUUAGAGAUCUUAGGCUGACUGCUGAAACUAAAUAUGCUACAAACGACACAGCCAGCACGGCAACAAAGGACAGGGAAAAUCCACCUUAUGAACAAGGAGUUGUAUCAAGCAGAGUAAUCAAUCUGAUAGCCAUCACGAAAGCCAAGGAUGACUCUAAACUGGACUCUGAAUCUUCGUCUGAAUCUGCGUCUCAUGCAAAGACAGAUAACUCGGUCCACUCGGGGCAUGCCGAAGAUACAACAGAGAAAAACCCACAGCUGAGGUUUGAGGAUGUCAUGCAACAGAGUCUUAGCAGAGACAGACUGAGUGCCUUCUCAGUGGAAGACUCUCGGUUAUUUGGUCCCACCACUUAUCCAAGGCUGGCUACAGCUCAACCAGAGCAGAGUUACUAA